UACGUAGGGGGCAAGCGUUGUCCGGAAUCAUUGGGCGUAAAGCGCGCGUAGGCGGCCCGGUAAGUCCGCUCUGAAAGUCCAGGGCUCAACCCUGGAAAGCGGGUGGAUACUGCCGGGCUAGAAUCCGGAAGAGGCGAGUGGAAUUCCUGGUGUAGCGGUGGAAUGCGUAGAGAUCCCCAAGAACACCAGUUGCGAAGGCGGCUGACUGGACACAUAUUGACGCUGAGGCUCGAAAGCAUGGGGAGCAAACAGG
rnacentral:rRNA from 1 species